rnacentral:lncRNA from 1 species
CAGCAGGCUGGGUGGUACGGCUGUGUGGCCUGCGGAUUGUUCUGCGUAUUCGUGAAGUUCGCCUGGGUCACUAGCUUCAACGACGUGCCAAGGGGUUUGACGCUCUCAGCGGCGUUCUUCGACCGCAUCCUCUGGACGGUCUUCCUUGCAUGGAUCACACUCGCAUGCAGCACCGGGCGAGGCGGGGUUCUAACCAGACUGCUGUCCUGGAACGCCUACGUGCCCCUGAGCAAGCUCUCCUUCGGCGUCUACCUCCUUCACUUGCCUUUCCUGAAAAUCUUGUUGAACGCGUCCAGGGAGCGAAUGUACUGGUCGGUCUUCAAUCAGAUCACGCUGCUGUUCGCCCUGCUCGUCUGGUGUUUCCUGCUCUCCUAUUUAGCGUUCCUGGCUUGCGAGGCACCGAUUGCUGCCCUUGACAAGCUCGUGUUAACCAGGCUUAUCGGAGGAAGGCGGAACGAACAAACAGCAACCUCGGGCAAGACACAACCUGGAAACAGUCAAAUUGACGGUGGAGUUUUGACGAAACAGGAUAAUGCACUAACGUGGUUCUUUGAGCUGGUUUAUAGUACGUUUGCGAUUGGGAAGAAACAGCACCAGAGGAGACGAAGCAUAAUCGAA